rnacentral:lncRNA from 1 species
GAAUCAAUUCGAAAACAAUACAUGGAUAGAAUUUAUUGGUACAAUUCAAAUGGAUUCAUUUUAGUAGUGUUUGGGAGGGGGUGGGGAAGAAUAAUAGUAAGGAGGUGGCGGUGAUGGAGAAGGUGGAGGUGGAAAGUUAUAAUAAUAUGGAGGAGGUGGAGACUUCUUUGAUGGAGGAGGAGAUGUGUAAUGGUAUGGAGGUGGUGGUGAAAGAGAAGGUGGAGGUGGAGAGUUAUAGUAGUAUGGGGGAGGUGGAGACUUUUUAGGAGGAGGUGGGGACGAGUAGUGGUAUGGAGGAGGUGGUGACUUUUUGGGUGGAGGUGGAGAGCUGUAGUAGUAGGGAGGAGGUGGAGAUUUCUUUGGUGGAGGUGGUGAUGAGUAGUAGUAUGGAGGAGGCGGAGACUUAUUUGGUGGAGGUGGAGAGCUAUAAUAGUAGGGAGGAGGUGGAGACUUCUUUGGUGGAGGUGGAGAGCUAUAGUAGUAGGGAGGAGGUGGAGUUUUCUUUGGUGGAGGUGGUGAUGAAUAGUAGUAUGGAGGAGGUGGAGACUUCUUUGGUGGAGGUGGUGAUGUGUAGUGGUAUGGAGGUGGCGAAGACGGAGAUGGUGGUGGAGGAGACUUAUAGUAAUAGGGUAGAUGCUUCACAUGUUUCGGUGGAGGUGGAGGGGACUUGUAAUAAUAUGGAGGGUGCUCAGCAU